rnacentral:tRNA from 1 species
GGACAGAUGGGUGAGUGGCUUAAACCAGCGGUUUACUAAACCGCCGUCCCCUUAAAAGGACCGUGAGUUCGAAUCUCACUCUGUCCGCCA